GGCGCUCCGGUACUCGCUGCUCGCGGCUGGCCGGCUCGGGAUUCCGGGCUUUCUUCCCGAGACCGCGUCCCCCAGCUGGGCCGAAGGUGGACGCUCAGGGGCUGGAGGCUCAGCGGAAUCCCCUGCGUUCAGUAGCCCCGCUCUCCCCUGUCCCGAAGGAGGAUUACUCUGCCCCUCAGCGGUUCCAGUGCCCUCAAAGCAAUCUGUCUCUGAAGUACUGGCUAUCUUCUGAGCGUGUGCCAGAAGAUCCAGCUUUGUUGAAAAGCGAAGCCGUUAGUCCCUUAAUACAAAGGGAUCAGGGAUAGCAGAAAUGAAAGUAUAAUGGAAGCAGCUGGAGGAUUCCAGGUCCACUUUCACCCAAGUAAUGGAGACGGAAGGUUCAUCGAAACUUCUUCAGCUGCAGAUCUAGAAGUCAUUAGCUAUUCUAGCAAAGUAUCUGUCACAGAAAGGUGCUUCAUAAAGGUCUGCACUGUGCUCUUUUGACCUGUGUCUUCAAGCAUGUGCUGUCAUAACAGAUUAAAGAUGACUGAAAAUUAUCUGCCACUCAUUGCGUGAAAGGUGGGAUCUGUAGACCUCCCUCUUGAAUUUGGGAGGGUUCUGUGACUGCUGUGACCAAUGAAUAUGGCAGAAGUGACGCUUUGCCAACUUCUGGGUCCAGGCUAUACGAGACAGGCAGUUCCACUCACUGUCUCUUAGAUCCAUGUAAAAAGUUCAUCUACCCUGCUGGAAAAACCAUGUAGAGAGGCCCUGAGACUACAUUGGGUGGGAGAGGGGCUCAGCUGCACCAUCUUCCAACUGUCCCCAUCAAGAUGACAGAAAUAUAAAUGAAGCCUUCUUGAACUCCAGACCAUCCAUGCUACAAGCUAAAUGCCACCAAGCGACCCCAGUUAAUACCAUGUGGAGCAAAAAUAUCACUUAACCAAGCACUGCCUGAGUUUCUGACCCCACAGAAUUCUGACCCCAUACAAAUAAAAUAAUUUUUGUAAUUUUUUAUAAUUCGUCAUGUAAUAGAUAAAUGGAACAGCCUUCUUCCAGUCUUUUAAAUAGCUGCAAGAAAUCUUAUUCAAGCAGAAGGAAGUUUCUACUUUGUUCAUACAGUCUCAAGACAUCCCUGGAGCCUUUCAAGGGAAAUUUGGGCAGAAGUAGGUAGAGAGGUAAAGCUAUUAUGUAACAUUACUUAACAUGAUUAAAACCACCUUAAUGUCUCCCAUCCUCAAAGGCUGCCAGUGAAUUGGAAAUUAAUGGAUUAAAUGAGGACAGAGAAACUAGUAUUUGUGCAUAUGCACUGUGCCAGGUAUUUAACGUAUCUUAGCUCAUGUGGUCUUCGAAACAACCCCAUAUUGUAGUAUCAGGCUCACACGGGUAACUAACUAGUGCAAAGACACAAGGCUCACAAACUGCUACUUGACCCUAGAGCUCUUUGACUCCGAUUCCCAUGUACGUGCCCCAAUACCAUGUUGACUCCCAAGGUGUAAAUCUUCAGGUAUACAAACUAUUAAAAUGUGAAUUUUCAUUUAUACGCAAUUUUUGCUUAUGAUAUGUUUUUUGUCACUUGCAUAAUAAUAGAUAUGUAACUUUAAAUCAGCAAUAUUAUACUGGCUAUCAACCAGUUUCAUGUAAAUUUUUCUAACAGAAAGAAUGUAGCAUUGAAAUGUGUACAUUUUUGUCCAAGUACACCUGGCAAUUGAAAGAAAAAAUCCAAGCCACUUGGAUGCUUGAUUUUGUGAUUUUUUUUUAUACACUUCCUUAUAAGAAUUUUUUUUAGGUAUUGAAUUUGCAACUACAAAACCUGAUUUUCCUCCCGGUUCUGUCCCUUUCUAGUAAUGAGACAUUGGACAAGUCACUUCACUUCCCAGAGCUUUAGUUUCCUCACUAGUUAGUGGAGGCCAAGAGUUAGCUCUAAGAGUGUGAGAAUUAUUAAUAAAUGAGAUAAUGUAUUUUAAAAUAUUUUUAAACUACAAAAUAGCAUAUAACU
rnacentral:sRNA from 1 species